rnacentral:rRNA from 1 species
GUGAGGAAUAUUGGUCAAUGGGCGGGAGCCUGAACCAGCCAAGUCGCGUGAAGGAAGAAGGAUCUAUGGUUCGUAAACUUCUUUUGCAGGGGAAUAAAGUGCAGGACGUGUCCUGUUUUGUAUGUACCCUGAGAAUAAGGAUCGGCUAACUUCGUGCCAGCAGCCGCGGUAAUACGAAGGGGGCUAGCGUUGUUCGGAAUUACUGGGCGUAAAGCGAGCGUAGGUUGCUCGACAAGUCAGUGGUGAAAUCACGGAGCUUAACUUCGGAACUGCCAGUGAAACUGUUGGGAUAGAAUCUCAGAGGGGAUAGCGGAAUUCCAAAUGUAGGGGUGAAAUCCGUAGAUAUUUGGAGGAACACCGGUGGCGAAGGCGGCUAUCUGGAUGAGUAUUGACACUGAGGCUCGAAAGCGUGGGGAUCAAACAGGAUUAGAAACCCGUGUAGUCC